AAAUUAACAACGUCUUCAUAGGUAAAAUAGCGAUACACAGAUUAUCAUUGGUCAUCUCAACUCGAUUGCUUUUCCGUAUCGGCUCCAGCGAGAAAAUCGAUCUCGUUGAGAUAAACAACGAUAAUCUAUAAUUAUCUCUCUAUUAUCUAACUAACGUCACGGUACCCAAAUUGCACCGAGCACCCAAAUUGCACCUAUUUAGCAAAAUAGCAGCGGACAUCUAACAAGAUUUCAUAGAGACUAAACAAUUUGUAUUUUUAUGAUUUGAUACUAUGCACGUCUUCCAACAUAGUUAAACAUAUUUAGAUAUACACAAAACGUUCACAGUAUUAAUCAGCAGAUGAAGUGUUUACUGAAAAAGCUAAAUGUACGGAAACGUCGCCAUGCGACGUCAUCAAAACGUC
rnacentral:lncRNA from 1 species